CUCCUAUCCGCUUUUGAUGGUAGGAUAGAGGUCUCCCAUGUGGCGUGAACAGGUCACGGAGAAUUCGGGUUCGUUCCGGAGAGGGGCCUGAGUAAUGGCUACCACAUCUAAGA
rnacentral:rRNA from 1 species